rnacentral:rRNA from 1 species
UGGAAGUGGUGCGAGCCAUUAAGCUAACCUGUACUAAUUACCCGUGAGGCUUAACCAUACAACGCCAAACGCGUUU